GCGAGCGUGUCAAUGCGCGUGAACAAAAGACAGGAGCAAAAAAUGGCUAAUAUAGUAUAUUUAUCUACCCGGAGGUGAAGGUUCUCCCUCUGACUGAAACACUCGAGACCCGCUUUACUGCUACCAUCUCAGGUCAGUAAAUUGACUUUCCAGUGCUUGACCCAUCAG